CCCAACUCACCCCUGGUGGCCGAUUGGCGGGGCCUGGCGCCUGUGGCCUGGCUGGGCCCCUUCCGGGGGGUGGGGUGCCCUCAGGCCUCUGGGCCUGAGGCCCGGUCCUCUCUGGCACAGCUGGCUGCUGGCAGAUCCCUCGGGCACGUCACUGCAACCCCCUCUGGCCUCUGCUCCGUGGCUGCUGGGUGACCUCUCGUUUGGGGCUCUCCUCAGCUCUUCCUAGGAAGGUGGCACGGUUGCCCCUGUGGUGGUCCACCUUGGGCCCUCGUACGCUGGGGCCUUUGGAUGUCUGGGGCCUGGAUCUCCUCCAUACCUGCUUCAUGCCCUGGGGGACGGGGCUAUAGCGUCCACACUCCCUAGCAGAUCGUUACAUGGAGAAACCUUUUGAAUACAAGCGUGCUGAUCCACACAGGUGUGCAAACGGGUGUACACACGGGUGUUCACUGACACAAACUACACCCUUCCUGCCUGCUACCACGAAGCACAUUGUGCGCUGUCGAUCUUGCGUGCUGCACAAUAACAUGUAAUAUUUAGUAUCUACUGUUAUCUACUUUUGGCUAGUUUAUUGUGAUGGUGUUGUAUUUAUUAUGUUGCUUUUUUAUGUUUGUUUUCUCUUCUGUUUUUUUUUUUUUAUCUCCAUACAGGUGAUCCACGUGUUUUGUUUGUUUUUCUUUUUUUUCUUCACCCUUUCUCACCAUCUCUUCUCCCCUCUAUUUUUCUUUCUCUCCCUCUCUUUUUUCAUUCUCUCUCCCAGUCCUAUCCCCCAGUCAUGUCUAUCCCAUCUGUAACAACCGAAAAUCAAAUAAAUACAUAAUUAUAAUAAAGGUCAAUCAAAUGGACCAAUAUGGCAAGGCCAUGAUGAUCCACUUGGUAAAGUAAAUCCUCUGGGCAUCUUUCUUGGCCUUCAGACAACAAUUCUGAUGGCUAAAGAUCCAAACAGGACAGGCAAAAAAAAAAAAAAAGAAAAAGGAAUAACAACACAGAGAAUAUUUGGGUGAAUGGGGUAAUUUUUCUUUUUUUUUUCUUUUUUUUCAUUAUAAACUCUACAUGGCUGGAGCAAAAUAAAAAGAUACAUCAACACGUCACAACAAUGUACCACAAAAUAUACAGUAUACAGUAAAGAGAG
ensembl:lncRNA